rnacentral:rRNA from 1 species
GGGGUAUAGGUUUUCGGACCUAGAGACCGGCGCACGGGUGCGUAACGCGUAUGCAAUCUACCUUUUACAGAGGGAUAGCCCAGAGAAAUUUGGAUUAAUACCUCAUAGUAUAUUGAGUUGGCAUCAACACAAUAUUAAAGUCACAACGGUAAAAGAUGAGCAUGCGUCCCAUUAGCUUGUUGGUAAGGUAACGGCUUACCAAGGCAACGAUGGGUAGGGGUCCUGAGAGGGAGAUCCCCCACACUGGUACUGAGACACGGACCAGACUCCUACGGGAGGCAGCAGUGAGGAAUAUUGGUCAAUGGGCGCAAGCCUGAACCAGCCAUGCCGCGUGCAGGAUGAAGCAUCUAUGGUGUGUAAACUGCUUUUGUACGAGAAGAAACACUCCUUCGUGAAGGAGCUUGACGGUAUCGUAAGAAUAAGGACCGGCUAACUCCGUGCCAGCAGCCGCGGUAAUACGGAGGGUCCAAGCGUUAUCCGGAAUCAUUGGGUUUAAAGGGUCCGUAGGCGGUUUUAUAAGUCAGUGGUGAAAGCCCAUCGCUCAACGGUGGAACGGCCAUUGAUACUGCAAGACUUGAAUUAUUGGGAAGUAACUAGAAUAUGUAGUGUAGCGGUGAAAUGCUUAGAGAUUACAUGGAAUACCAAUUGCGAAGGCAGGUUACUACCAAUAUAUUGACGCUGAUGGACGAAAGCGUGGGGAGCGAACAGGAUUAGAUACCCUGGUAGUC